UACGUAGGGGGCAAGCGUUGUCCGGAUUUAUUGGGCGUAAAGAGCUCGUAGGCGGUGUGUCACGUCGGCCGUGAAAACCUGCAGCUUAACUGUGGGCGUGCGGUCGAUACGGGCAUCACUGGAGUUCGGCAGGGGAGACUGGAAUUCCUGGUGUAGCGGUGAAAUGCGCAGAUAUCAGGAGGAACACCGGUGGCGAAGGCGGGUCUCUGGGCCGAUACUGACGCUGGAGGAAGCGAAAAGCGUGGGGGAGCAAACAGG
rnacentral:rRNA from 1 species